GGGGAUGUGGUCUAGUGGUAUGACGUUUCCUUAGCAUACUUACGAGGUAUGGAAAAGGUUCUGGGUUCGAUUCCCAGCUUCUCCA